GAUGAAGAACGUAGCGAAAUGCGAUACGUAAUGUGAAUUGCAGAAUUCAGUGAAUCAUCGAGUCUUUGAACGCACAUUGCGCCCUCUGGUAUUCCGGAGGGCAUGCCUGUCCGAGCGUCAUUGCUGCCCUCAAGCACGGCUUGUGUGUUGGGCUCCGUCCCCCGAUCCCGGGGGACGGGCCCGAAAGGCAGCGGCGGCACCGCGCCCGGUCCUCGAGCGUAUGGGGCUUUGUCACCCGCUCUGUAGGCCCGGCCGGCGCUUGCCGAUCAACCAAAUUUUUAUCCAGGUUGACCUCGGAUCAGGUAGGGAUACCCGCUGAACUUAAGCAUAUCAAUAAGCGGAGGA
rnacentral:misc_RNA from 1 species